AUCUGUCCUUAUUAAAAGGAAGUGCAGAAGUUCAGCUGGAUAUAUUCUGCAGCACAGGCUGACUGUUUCAGGGCAGGAGUGGGGGGAAGCUGAUGCAGAGAGGAAAAUGAAGAUUUCAGAGACAGAAUAUUUAUGUUGUGAAGGCAGAACUUCUGAAGUAUGGUCAAGCUUAAUAUAAGUUGGAAAGGAAAAGAGAACAACAACAACCACAACAAAAAGCAAGCAUAAAGGAAAAAGAAGCGUGGAGUUUGCAGACUCAAUUAAAUCAGAACUGUUGGAACUCUUCAGCAAGGUGGUAGGAACUUCUGAGGCUGAAACUUGUUUUGAGAAACAGCUUUGUGCUCCAAGGAAUACUGACAGUGCAAUUUUACAAAAGUCUAAAGGUAAGGACCUAAAUGUAGCUUGAGGGUAACUGUAGCUGGAAGACUUGUAGUACUCGUCUAUAUUGUAUGGACUUUGUGUGUCAUGCUAAAUGAUUUACAACUGUUGCAUGAGGUGUGUAUGCUCAGUGCAUUGUCAUUCUCUGAUCAAAAUAUCUUGCUCACUGCUUU
rnacentral:lncRNA from 1 species